rnacentral:rRNA from 1 species
AACGCUAGCUACAGGCUUAACACAUGCAAGUCGAGGGGAAACGACAUCGAAAGCUUGCUUUUGAUGGGCGUCGACCGGCGCACGGGUGAGUAACGCGUAUCCAACCUGCCCACCACUUGGGGAUAACCUUGCGAAAGUAAGACUAAUACCCAAUGACGUCUCUAGAAGACAUCUGAAAGAGAUUAAAGAUUUAUCGGUGAUGGAUGGGGAUGCGUCUGAUUAGCUUGUUGGCGGGGUAACGGCCCACCAAGGCGACGAUCAGUAGGGGUUCUGAGAGGAAGGUCCCCCACAUUGGAACUGAGACACGGUCCAAACUCCUACGGGAGGCAGCAGUGAGGAAUAUUGGUCAAUGGACGAGAGUCUGAACCAGCCAAGUAGCGUGCAGGAUGACGGCCCUAUGGGUUGUAAACUGCUUUUAUAAGGGAAUAAAGUGAGUCUCGUGAGACUUUUUGCAUGUACCUUAUGAAUAAGGACCGGCUAAUUCCGUGCCAGCAGCCGCGGUAAUACGGAAGGUCCGGGCGUUAUCCGGAUUUAUUGGGUUUAAAGGGAGCGUAGGCCGGAGAUUAAGCGUGUUGUGAAAUGUAGACGCUCAACGUCUGCACUGCAGCGCGAACUGGUUUCCUUGAGUACGCACAAAGUGGGCGGAAUUCGUGGUGUAGCGGUGAAAUGCUUAGAUAUCACGAAGAACUCCGAUUGCGAAGGCAGCUCACUGGAGCGCAACUGACGCUGAAGCUCGAAAGUGCGGGUAUCGAACAGGAUUAGAUACCCUGGUAGUCCGCACGGUAAACGAUGGAUGCCCGCUGUUGGUCUGAAUAGGUCAGCGGCCAAGCGAAAGCAUUAAGCAUCCCACCUGGGGAGUACGCCGGCA